rnacentral:piRNA from 1 species
UCGAAAACAUUCACGAUCCUUUGACGCAU